GACGAACGUUGGCGGCGUGCUUAAUACAUGCAAGUCAACUAAAGCAGUGGUAGCAAUAUCGCUGUGGAGGUGGCGCACGGGUGAGUAACACGUAGGUAAUCUGCCUUCAGGUCUGGCAUAACUCCGGGAAACCGGGGCUAAUAGCAGAUGAUGCAGCGGCUCGACAUCGAGACAGUUGUUAAAGCUAUGGCGCCUGAAGAUGAGCCUGCGUCUGAUUAGCUAGUUGGCGGGGUAACGGCCCACCAAGGCAACGAUCAGUAGCUGGUCUGAGAGGAUGAUCAGCCACACUGGAACUGAGACACGGUCCAGACUCCUACGGGAGGCAGCAGUAAGGAAUAUUGCUCAAUGGGAGAAAUCCUGAAGCAGCAACGCCGCGUGAGGGACGAAGGGCUUUUGCUUGUAAACCUCUGUAGUGAGAGAAAAAAAUCCCAAUCUUUGGGACAUGAUGGUAUCUCAAAAGUAAGCCCCGGCUAACUACGUG
rnacentral:rRNA from 1 species